rnacentral:rRNA from 1 species
CCUACGGGGGGCUGCAGUCGGGAAUAUUGCGCAAUGGAGGAAACUCUGACGCAGUGACGCCGCGUGCAGGAAGAAGGUUUUCGGAUUGUAAACUGCUUUAGACAGGGAAGAAAAAAGACAGUACCUGAAGAAAAAGCAUCGGCUAACUCCGUGCCAGCAGCCGCGGUAAUACGGAGGAUGCGAGCGUUAUCCGGAUUUAUUGGGUUUAAAGGGUGCGUAGGCGGAAUGCCAAGUCAGCGGUAAAAUCGCGGGGCUCAACCUCGCUCCGCCGUUGAAACUGGCGUUCUUGAGUGGGCGAGAAGUAUGCGGAAUGCGUGGUGUAGCGGUGAAAUGCAUAGAUAUCACGCAGAACUCCGAUUGCGAAGGCAGCAUACCGGCGCCCAACUGACGCUGAAGCACGAAAGCGUGGGUAUCGAACAGGAUUAGAUACCCUGGUAGUC